UACGUAGGGGGCAAGCGUUGUCCGGAUUUAUUGGGCGUAAAGAGCGUGUAGGCGGCUUUACAGGUCCGUUGUGAAAGCCCGGAGCUCAACUCCGGAACUGCCAUUGAAACUGUAAGACUUGAGGAUGAGAGAGGUGAGUGGAAUUCCCAGUGUAGAGGUGAAAUUCGUAGAUAUUGGGAAGAACACCGGUGGCGAAGGCGGCUCACUGGCUCAUAUCUGACGCUCAGGCGCGACAGCGUGGGGAUCAAACAGG
rnacentral:rRNA from 1 species